GACGAACGCUGGCGGCGUGCCUAAUACAUGCAAGUCGAACGCUUCACUUCGGUGAAGAGUGGCGAACGGGUGAGUAAUACAUAAGUAACCUGGCAUCUACAGGGGGAUAACUGAUGGAAACGUCAGCUAAGACCGCAUAGGUGUAGAGAUCGCAUGAACUCUAUAUGAAAAGUGCUACGGGACUGGUAGAUGAUGGACUUAUGGCGCAUUAGCUUGUUGGUAGGGUAACGGCCUACCAAGGCGACGAUGCGUAGCCGACCUGAGAGGGUGACCGGCCACACUGGGACUGAGACACGGCCCAGACUCCUACGGGAGGCAGCAGUAGGGAAUUUUCGGCAAUGGGGGAAACCCUGACCGAGCAACGCCGCGUGAAGGAAGAAGUAAUUCGUUAUGUAAACUUCUGUCAUAGAGGAAGAACGGUGGAUAUAGGGAAUGAUAUCCAAGUGACGGUACUCUAUAAGAAAGCC
rnacentral:rRNA from 1 species